CUCCUCUUCUCUACAUCCUUCCUGCUCUCCUCUCUCUCCUCUUCACAUCCAAGGAGUUGGACGUCCAUCUGGCAAAGGUCCAAGGCGUGGUGACGCCUGGAAUAGGAAGGCUGCAGGAUAUCUUCGACAGGCUGCUGCUCCAACUUCAAAAGGAGUUCUAAAGCACUUCCAAAUCAGAUAGAGAUCUGAUUUUUGGAGCAUAGAUUGCCAAGGAGAAGAUGUUCCAGGUCCUAGCUGAGUGGAUAUCGGUAGAGGCCAGGCGCUUGCGUGGCUAUAUCAGAACCUCGGGCUAUGCUGAGAUCAUCUACAGGGUAAUCAGAUUAUCCUUGAGGUAUUAUUUAUUUC
rnacentral:lncRNA from 1 species